GACGAACGCUGGCGGCGUGCUUAACACAUGCAAGUCGAACGGAAAGGCCCUGCUUUUGUGGGGUGCUCGAGUGGCGAACGGGUGAGUAACACGUGAGUAACCUGACCUUGACUUUGGGAUAACUUCAGGAAACUGGGGCUAAUACCGGAUAGGAGCUCCUGCUGCAUGGUGGGGGUUGGAAAGUUUCGGCGGUUGGGGAUGGACUCGCGGCUUAUCAGCUUGUUGGUGGGGUAGUGGCAUACCAAGGCUUUGACGGGUAGCCGGCCUGAGAGGGUGACCGGCCACAUUGGGACUGAGGUACGGCCCAGACUCCUACGGGAGGCAGCAGUGGGGAAUAUUGCACAAUGGGCGGAAGCCUGAUGCAGCAACGCCGCGUUCGGGAUGACGGCCUUCGGGUUGUAAACCGCUUUCGCCUGUGACGAAGCGUGAGUGACGGUAAUGGGUAAAGAAGCACCGGCUAACUACGUG
rnacentral:rRNA from 1 species